rnacentral:rRNA from 1 species
UACGGGGGGGGCUAGCGUUGUUCGGAAUUACUGGGCGUAAAGCGCGCGUAGGCGGCUUUGUAAGUUAGAGGUGAAAGCCCGGAGCUCAACUCCGGAACUGCCUUUAAGACUGCAUCGCUAGAAUUGUGGAGAGGUGAGUGGAAUUCCGAGUGUAGAGGUGAAAUUCGUAGAUAUUCGGAAGAACACCAGUGGCGAAGGCGACUCACUGGACACAUAUUGACGCUGAGGUGCGAAAGCGUGGGGAGCAAACAGG